AUGUUGGGGGCCAUCCAGGAUUUUGGACCUACUCAGGUGUCCCCAGAUCAAGCCAUCCAUCUAUUUGUGAGCCACUUCCCCGAACAGCCGGCAAGGGGGCAGUAUUCUGCUGCAGAUGUGGCCUCUUCGCCAACAAACUUAAAAAGGACUCCUGCACAGAACUGUCCACCAGGGGACAGUAAUGAUACUCUUCAACUGUGGUGCUGGAGAAGAUUUUUGAGAGCCCCUUCGGUUCAAUUUGAAGUCUUUGACUGUGCGGAUCACAAUAAACUGUGGAAAAUUCUGAGAGAGAUAGGAAUACCAGACCACCUGACCUGCUUCUUGAGAAAUCUGUAUGCAGGUCAGGAAGCAACAGUUAGAACUGGACAUGGAACAAAAGACUGGUUCCAAAUAGGAAAAGGAGUACGUCAAGGCUGUAUAUUGUCACCCUGCUUAUUUAACUUCUAUGCAGAGUACAUCAUGAGAAACGCUGGACUGGAAGAAACACAAGCUGGAAUCAAGAUUGCCGGGAGAAAUAGCAAUAACCUCAGAUAUGCAGAUGACACCACCCUUAUGGCAGAAAGUGAAGAGGAACUAAAAAGCCUCUUGAUGAAAGUGAAAGAGGAGAGUGAAAAAGUUGGCUUAAAGCUCAACAUUCAGAAAACAAAGAUCAUGGCAUCCGGUCCCAUCACUUCAUGGGAAAUAGAUGCGGAAACAGUGGAAACAGAUUUUAUUUUUUUGGGCUCCAAAAUCACUGCAGAUGGUGACUGCAGCCAUGAAAUUAAAAGACACUUACUCCUUGGAAGAAAAGUUAUGACCAACCUAGAUAGCAUAUUCAAAAGCAGAGACAUUACUUUGCCAACUAAGGUCCGUCUAGUCAAGGCUAUGGUUUUUCCUGUGGUCAUGUAUGGAUGUGAGAGUUGGACUGUGAAGAAGGCUGAGGGCCGAAGAAUUGAUGCUUUUGAACUGUGGUGUUGGAGAAGACUCUUGAGAGUCCCUUGGACUGCAAGGAGAUCCAACCAGUCCAUUCUGAAGGAGAUCAACCCUGGGAUUUCUUUGGAAGGAAUGAUGCUAAAGCUGAAACUCCAGUACUUUGGCCACCUCAUGCGAAGAGUUGACUCAUUGGAAAAGACUGAUGCUGGGAGGGAUUGGGGGGAAGAGGAGAAGGGGAUGACAGAGGAUGAGAUGGCUGGAUGGCAUCACUGA
rnacentral:lncRNA from 1 species